GAGAUUUUUGAAUUUAUGGUCUUAAACUAAGAAAUGAAUAAUACACCAAAAUGUCAUUUCAUAUUGUAGUCUUGAACAUGUGUGGAAAGUUAAAUUUAAAAUUUGACCAAAAAAAGAAGAAGAAACAAUUCUUUUUGAAAUGAACUAAAAAGGAAAGUAAGACGUAAAUUAAAAUGGGGCAGUGCAAUUUCUUUUUUUUAAAAAACCUAUAAUAAUUCUAUUAUUACUAAAAAUUGUGCCCCUCUAAUUUGGAUGCCUUAUUUUUGCCGGCCCUGUUCUCCACCAACCUGACUCUCUCUCUCUAUAUAUAUGUAAUAUGUGUGUAUUGGUUUGUAUGUUCAUGAAUUCUUGAAAGAUAUGGGAUUCUUCCCGAUUGCAAGUAUCUAUAUUCAAACCUUGUGCCCAUCCCACAAAUACUUGGUUGCUUUUUAGUUCAUCUUUUUUUCUUCCCCUUUCUGUUCACUAUUUUUUUGGGAGCAGUGAGCAUUUCAUAAUUAUCUGUUACUUCAUAAUUUUCAUUCUUAACGCUUCUCCUUUGUUAACGUUGUAAUAUUUGGCAGGCUGAUGUGUUGGAGCAUUUCACCUGAUUUCUUCCCUCUUGCCAUGACUUAGUUGUUGGAAGUUUCAGACUCACAUCUUUAACCUUGUUGUACUGUUAUGCAGAGAGAUGAGACAUUCAGUUCAUUCAGCUUGUGUUGGAGCAUUAAAUCAGUGGAUUAUGGAUAUUAAUUAUGCUUUUUGUAGGAUUCGUUUCUGGGGAUUGGCUUCCAGCGUUGUUUUUCAAAUUUUAUUUUAAUGAUUUGUUGGAUUUUCUUGAUGACUAAUCACUGACAGUUUGUGUUUCUCUCCACUUUGUCUUCUUUACCACUAAUCUCCUUUGCUUUUCUCUUUUAACUUGGUUAUCUCUUUUACUUUCUGGGGUCAUUUAACUAUUGAGAGUUCAGAAAGCAGCCUGAUGCUUGCCUCUGCUAUUCCUCCCGAAAGGUGAAGCAUCUUCAAAUUUUGAAGGUUCCCAGGGUAUGUGAAUUUGAUAGUGUGAUGACUGCAUUCACAUGUCUACUAAUUAACUUGAUUACUCGUUCUGAUACAUUUUCCAGAUGUAUUGUGACAGGAAAAGAUGCUUGUGUUGGAAUGUAUUAUCCUGUGCUGGACUGAUUUGUGUCUUAAAAUCACUUAUCCUGUUGGGUAUCUUAAUUUGAAUUUUAUUUUGGAUUCUGUGAUGUUUAUCAAGAAAGUUCUCUGUGCAAUGGGAAUUAACUGAAGCCCAUCAGGGAGAAGUGAGAAUGAGUAGCAUUUAAAUGUGAUGGGCUAAACUAGGACAUUUCUAACCUGGUUAUGAACUUUUUAUUUGAAGGGGGCGGGGUGUGUGGGAAUCAAGUACAUGACUAUUUCAAUACUCUUCCAAUGAAGAGCACUGCUAUAGCAGGAAGCUAGCAGUCACUUUGAAUUUGACAUUGUUAUCUUAGAUUUUGAUUUGUGGCUCGGAAGUCUUAGAGAAACGGAAAGCACUAGCAGACAAAGUGGUUGAAUCACAUAGUAAAUAGGAGAUCUUGUGAGGAUGAAUAUAUUUGUACAUCUCUUCUUUUAUUCUUGUGAAUACAUAGUUGAGACAUUUCAAGCUACAUCUCCGCAGAAGUGUUUUUUCUACUUUUUGCUCUUCAGGGCUUUGCUCUCAUCCAAUCAUUUUCUUGAGAUGUAAUUUGUUUCUGUUAAUUUAUUUAAUUUUUUUGGGUAAAGAACUUGGGUGGGACGGGUGUUCACAAAUUAACUGUGGAUAGUUUUGGUUGGAACCCGAGACAUGGCUUCUUGUGUGGGUUCUCAUGUAGGAACUAUGCUCAUUAAUGCCUUAUAUUUCUGUUUGUCAUAGUGGGGUCUUCUCUUUACUGAUCCACCAAAUGUCUGGUAUUCUUGAGACAACUAGUACACCUAAAUGUCUUUGCUAAGAUUGUAGGACCAUUCAAGCUUCUGGUGUGGUCGAUCAUAUUUUUGCAUAGGGCUCUAUUGGGGUUGAGAUGUUGAGUAGUUGAACUUUAGCCUGUAUGGUGAGUUUGGAUAAUGUGUGGAAGCUUAGUAUUUCUGUUAAGCGUUGGUUUUGGCAUCUGGUAUUUUUGGAUAUAGGUUCACUAUUGCUGUAUUAUUUUGUUUCUUUUUCCUUUUUAAACCUUCUGUUUUAGACUAACUUCUUUCAGUUGGUUGUUAGUAGCGUGUACUGAUAGCAGGGAUGGCUCCCCAUUUCAGAAGAUCUCUUGGAUUUUGAUUUGUGGCUCGGAAGUUUUAGAGAAACGGAAUGCACUAGCAGGAAGAGUGGUGAAUCACAUAGUAAAUAGGAGACCUUGUGAGGAUGAAUAUAUUUGUACCACUCUUCUUUUGUGCUUGUGAAAACGUAGUUGCAGACAUUUCAAGCUACAUCUCCCUAAGAAGUGUUUUUUCUACUUUUAGCUCUUCAGGGCUUUGCUCUCAUUCAAUCAUUCUCUUGAGAUGCAAUUUGUUUAUGUUAACUUAUUUAGUAAUUUUUGGGGAAAUAAGUUGGAUGGGAUGUUGUCCCCAGGUGUUCACAAAUUAACUGUGGAUAUUUUUGGUUGGAACUCGAGACAUGGCUUCUUGUGGGUUCUCAUCUUAGAAACUAUGUUCAUUAAUGCCUUAAUAUUUCUGUUUGUGAUCCACCAAUGUCUGGAGUUCUUGAGACAAAUAUUUGUGUAAUCUGAAUUUCAUGUCCAUUGGAAUCAAUUGGUCUCAACAUUCUAAUUAGUUGAAAACUGCAAUUCUGCUAUACAGGAGAAUGUUGAUGCUCAUUGGAUUCAAAAGAUUGCUUGCGGAUAAAAAUAGUUUAAAUUUUACCUAUCAAAAAGAAUGGUUUACAUUUAUAUUGUCUAGGUUUCUCUUACAAUUUUUUUCAAAGACUUUUACUCGAAAGUCUCUCAUGUAUGCAGUAUCGCUCAAAAGUUUUUAUAUUACCCUACAAUUUGUCUGGUUCCCUUCAGAAUUUUUAGCAACACAUUUUGCUUAAGUUAUCUCUUUGAUGAAGUGGCUUGUUGUUUUUGUUAUCUAAUGCUGCCACCUAUGCUAAUAAGAUAUUAUCAGCUCUUCCUUCCUUUCCUUGGUCCUGCUUUGCCCCUUCUACCUUGUGUUUUGAACUGUCUGAUGUAAGUCUUGAUUGGUCCUAGUGGUGGAUGCACGGGUUACAUUUUUGUAUGGUACUUUUGACAACUUGAUUCUCUUGGUUUGAGUGUCAUUUUGUUCUUGCUCUAACUUCCUUUUAAGUUAUUUGAAUCAUGAACUUUUUGUCAUGGUGAUUGGGAGUUUGUCAUUUGAGUUUUGGGCUUUGUGUCUCAUCUUGCUUGGGGUUGAGGUGUACUAGUUGUUGCUGCUUUGUGCAAUAAAUGUCUUGGCCAAGAUUGUAGGACUAUUCAAGCUUCUGAUGUGGUGGAUCAUAUUUUUGUAUAGGGCUGUAUUGGGGUUUGAGAUGUUGAGUAGCUGAACUUUAGCCUGGGUAUGGUGAGUUUGGAUAAUGCAUGGAAGCUUAGUAUUUCUGUUAAGCAUUGGUAUUUUUGGAUAUAGGUUUACUAUUGCUGAAUGGUUUUGUUUCUUUUUCCUUUUUAAUUAAUCCUUCCGUUCUAGACUAACUUCUUUAAGUUGGUUGUUAGUAGCGCGUACUGAUAGCAGCAGGGAUGGCUCCCCCAUUUCAGAAGAUCUCUUGUUAGUUCUAUUUGUCUCCUGAUGUAGGUAAGCUAGCUGCUGGCUGCUUAUUGAUGUUGGUGUCCAAUAGAGUUCUUUGCUCUUCAUGCCUGGAAAGAUGUAAUGCAGGCCAAAUUCUUCUUAAGAAAUUUCAUGUAUCGGGCUUGUUGUACUGUCAGAAUGCACGACAGUUCCAUCCCGCCUCUAAAUUAUAACUUACAUAACACAAUUGAACUAGGGAGAGGAUUGGGGUAAAACUUACCGCACCGGGUGUUUACACCAAGUCAAUACAUGCAUGCCAUGUGUUUAAACUUAUAGUUUAUUUUACUUAACCAUAAUUAAUUGACAUGUGUUUUACUUCAUUAAAUCACGUAAUAAUGGAAAUUGCAUUGGCUUGGUGUAAACGCCCGGUGGGGAUAAGUUUUUUCCGAGAGGGAUGGUGUUGUCUAAUAAUGCUUACACAAGUAAAAAGUUGAUGUCACAGUAACUAGUCGAUUAUAAUUAUGGGGUAAUUGCACUAAAACACUCGUAUAAUGUGAGUUAGUUUGGUCAAUACUUGCCCGUUUUACAUCACGAAAAUCUUAUAUUUACACCUGGUAUAUUUAAAUUUAAUGUAGUUCAAAUUAUUUUAUGAAUUUGAAUUUAAUUCUUCUCGUUUAGCAUGAGUUGGUUUGGGGUUUUCAAAUAUCAAAUUAAAUCAUUUGUGUUGAAUUUUUAAGUCUAUAAAUCAAAUCAAAUUAGUAAAAUUUGG
rnacentral:lncRNA from 1 species